rnacentral:rRNA from 1 species
CCGCUGACGACCGGCGAACGGGUGCGUAACGCGUAUAGAAUCUGCCUUGUACAGGAGGAUAGCCUUUAGAAAUGAAGAUUAAUACUCCAUAAUAUUGAGAAGUGGCAUCGCUUUUUAAUUAAACAUUUAUGGGUACAAGAUGACUAUGCGUCCUAUUAGCUAGAUGGUAAGGUAACGGCUUACCAUGGCAACGAUAGGUAGGGGGUCUGAGAGGAUUAUCCCCCACACUGGUACUGAGACACGGACCAGACUCCUACGGGAGGCAGCAGUGAGGAAUAUUGGUCAAUGGAGGCAACUCUGAACCAGCCAUGCCGCGUGCAGGAUGACUGCCCUAUGGGUUGUAAACUGCUUUUAUACAGGAAGAAACAGUCGUACGUGUACGGCCUUGACGGUACUGUAAGAAUAAGCACCGGCUAACUCCGUGCCAGCAGCCGCGGUAAUACGGAGGGUGCAAGCGUUAUCCGGAAUCAUUGGGUUUAAAGGGUCCGCAGGCGGUCAAUUAAGUCAGAGGUGAAAUCCCAUAGCUUAACUAUGGAACUGCCUUUGAUACUGGUUGACUUGAGUUAUACGGAAGUAGAUAGAAUGUGUAGUGUAGCGGUGAAAUGCAUAGAUAUUACACAGAAUACCGAUUGCGAAGGCAGUCUACUACG